CAGUCGCCACGGUAAUACGGAGGAUCCAAGCGUUAUCCGGAAUCAUUGGGUUUAAAGGGUCCGUAGGCGGUCUUGUAAGUCAGUGGUGAAAGCCCAUCGCUCAACGGUGGAACGGCCAUUGAUACUGCAGGACUUGAAUUAUUGGGAAGUAACUAGAAUAUGUAGUGUAGCGGUGAAAUGCUUAGAGAUUACAUGGAAUACCAAUUGCGAAGGCAGGUUACUACCAAUUGAUUGACGCUGAUGUACGAAAGCGUGGGUAGCGAACAGGAUUAGAUACCCCCGUAGUCCCUGUCUCUUAUAC
rnacentral:rRNA from 1 species